rnacentral:rRNA from 1 species
UGCGUGUCGUCAGCUCGUGUCGUGAGAUGUUGGGUUAAGUCCCGUAACGAGCGCAACCCUUGUCCUUAGUUACCAGCACGUUAUGGUGGGCACUCUAAGGAGACUGCCGGUGACAAACCGGAGGAAGGUGGGGAUGACGUCAAGUCAUCAUGGCCCUUACGGCCUGGGCUACACACGUGCUACAAUGGUCGGUACAAAGGGUUGCCAAGCCGCGAGGUGGAGCUAAUCCCAUAAAACCGAUCGUAGUCCGGAUCGCAGUCUGCAACUCGACUGCGUGAAGUCGGAAUCGCUAGUAAUCGUGAAUCAGAAUGUCACGGUGAAUACGUUCCCGGGCCUU